CAAUAGCGUAUAUUGAAGUUGUUGCGGUUAAAAAGCUCGUCGUUGGAUUUCUGUUGAGGUCGAACAGUGCCGCCCUAUGGGUGCGCAACUGGCUCGGCUUCGGCAUCUUCUUGGAGAGCGCAUCUGCACUUAACUGUGUGGAUCGUACUUCAAGUCGGUUACUUUGAGGAAUUGUGGGUGUUUCAAGCAGGCUUACGCCGUUGAAUCCGUUAGCAUGGAAUAAUAGGAUAGGACCUCGGUUCUAUUUUGUUGGUUUUGAGAGCUGGGGCAGCGAUUGAUAGGGACGGAUGGGGGCGUCCGAACUUUACUGUCAGAGGUGAAAUUCUUAGAUCGGUCAAAGGCGAACUACUGCGAACGCAUUCGCCAAGAAUGUUUUCUUUA
rnacentral:rRNA from 1 species